rnacentral:rRNA from 1 species
AUCCUACGGGAGGCAGCAGUGAGGAAUAUUGGUCAAUGGGCGAGAGCCUGAACCAGCCAAGUCGCGUGAAGGAUGACGGCCCUACGGGUUGUAAACUUCGUUUUUCCGGGAGCACUGGACUCCACGUGUGGGCUUAGCGAGAGUACCUGAAGAAAAAGCAUCGGCUAACUCCGUGCCAGCAGCCGCGGUAAUACGGAGGAUGCGAGCGUUAUCCGGAUUUAUUGGGUUUAAAGGGUGCGUAGGCGGAAUAUCAAGUCAGCGGUAAAAAUUCGGGGCUCAACCCCGUCGUGCACUUCCAACUGAUG